rnacentral:rRNA from 1 species
GAUGAACGCUGGCGGCGUGCCUAAUACAUGCAAGUCGAGCGAACGGACGAGAAGCUUGCUUUUCUGAUGUUAGCGGCGGACGGGUGAGUAACACGUGGAUAACCUACCUAUAAGACUGGGAUAACUUCGGGAAACCGGAGCUAAUACCGGAUAAUAUUUUGAACCUCAUGGUUCAAAAGUGAAAGACGGUCUUGCUGUCACUUAUAGAUUGAUCCGCGCUGCAUUAGCUAGUUGGUAAGGUAACGGCUUACCAAGGCAACGAUGCAUAGCCGACCUGAGAGGGUGAUCGGCCACACUGGAACUGAGAAACGGUCCAGACUCCUACGGGAGGCAGCAGUAGGGAAUCUUCCGCAAUGGGCGAAAGCCUGACGGAGCAAAGCCGCGUGAGUGAUGAAGGUCUUCGGAUCGUAAAACUCUGUUAUUAGGGAAGAACAUAUGUGUAAGUAACUGUGCACAUCUUGACGGUACCUAAUCAGAAAGCCACGGCUAACUACGUG